AGCUUCUUUACAGUGUUGCCUUGUAGCAUGGAGAUCAAGCAGCAUUGUACAGGGCUAUCA
rnacentral:pre_miRNA from 1 species